GCGAUGGAUGUAACUUUCUGGGUAAUUACACAGCUAAUGCAUGCAACUUGAAUGUGAAGACCCACAUUUGCAUGCUAAUUGAUUGCUCCUAGCUAAGAAACCCGCCCUUGGUCAUCUCGAAACUUUUCAUAUGCGUUGCAGUAUCCCUCAAGUCAGAAUUUCUUCUGGAAGUGAAUGAAAGAUCAAGACAGUAAUUAUAAAGCAUCAAGACCCCAUUUGAACAAGAGUUUCCACUCCAUGCAAAAGAAAGAGAAGGAAGCAAGGAAAGAAGGGAGGGAUAAGGAAAUGGAAG